GUGAGGAAUUUUCCGCAAUGGGCGAAAGCCUGACGGAGCAAUGCCGCGUGAAGGAUGAAGGUCUAUGGGUUGUAAACUUCUUUUCUCAGAAAAGAAUUAUGACGGUAUCUGAGGAAUAAGCAUCGGCUAACUCUGUGCCAGCAGCCGCGGUAAGACAGAGGAUGCAAGCGUUAUCCGGAAUGAUUGGGCGUAAAGCGUCUGUAGGUUGUUUAAAAAGUAUUCUGUCAAAGAUUAGGGCUUAACCCUAGAUAGGCAGAAUAAACUUUUAAGCUAGAGUUUGGUAGAGGCAGAGGGAAUUCCCGGUGGAGCGGUGAAAUGCGUAGAUAUCGGGAGGAACACCAAAGGCGAAGGCACUCUGCUGGGCCAAUACUAACACUGAGAGACGAAAGCGAGGGGAGCAAAUGGGAUUAGAAACCCCAGUAGUCC
rnacentral:rRNA from 1 species